UUUUUAACACUGUCUCUUAUGGAAGUAUUUUUUCAAAGUGUUUUUUCUCUUAACUGGAUAACAACUUCGACCAAAGAAAAAUAUUGAAAAAUACUACAUCAUUCAGAUUGUCAUGUUUGACGAGGUAUUGGUGGAAAGUGCUGUAAUCCAUCUAUUCGACCUCUCAAGAAGAACUGGUGGUGUUAUUUAAAGCAAGAUUCUGUGGCAUUCCUUGUUGGAUAUGUAUCGUUUGGAUAGUUUAUUCAUACAUAGAUUUUUUUGUGUUUCAAAUGAUUUGUAUUUGUUAGCAUUAUUAAAAAUAGAGAAUAUGGAUGCAUACAAAAAAAACAAUUAGGAUGCUUCAUCAUCGUUGAGAAGUUGCUGUAAUCCUUGGAUAGUUGAAAUGAGUAAGUGAAAUUGUUUGCGUCUUUGUU